rnacentral:rRNA from 1 species
GAUGAACGCUAGCGGCAGGCUUAACACAUGCAAGUCGAGGGGCAGCAUGAGACGGAGAUUCGUCGAAGUCUUUAUGGCGACCGGCGCAAGGGUGCGUAACGCGUGAGCAACUUGCCCGUUUCAGGGGGAUAACCGGUGGAAACGCCGACUAAUACCCCAUAGUAUUGAAUUCAGGCAUCUUUAUUCAAUUAAAGAAAUUCGGAAACGGAUAGGCUCGCGUGACAUUAGCUAGAUGGCGGGGUAACGGCCCACCAUGGCGACGAUGUCUAGGGGUUCUGAGAGGAAGGUCCCCCACACUGGAACUGAGACACGGUCCAGACUCCUACGGGAGGCAGCAGUGAGGAAUAUUGGUCAAUGGUCGAGAGACUGAACCAGCCAUGCCGCGUGAAGGCGACGGCCCUAUGGGUCUUAAACUUCUUUUGUAAGGGAGCAAUAAGGUUUACGUGUAGACUGAUGAGAGUACCUUACGAAUAAGCAUCGGCUAACUCCGUGCCAGCAGCCGCUGUAACAC